ACACAGCCCUGCAGGAGGUGGGCACGCCACGCCCCGCUCAGUGGGGAGUUGGCAUGGAGGCGGAGGCCUGGUCACUGAAAGAAGCCGGAGCUGCAGCUCGUUGUGACACCUGCCUGUGUCAAGGCUGGAGUGGAGCGGAUGGAGCUGUCUGUCCAGGGGCCCCAGAGGAGAGGAAACAGAUCGAAUGCUGCCACCUGAAUUAAUUGAUCCAUGUGGAUUUUUGCCUGAUGUUUGCUGACUCUCAAAAAUUGGUUUGCAGGAGUUCCUUGAAAAUUCAACAUAUGAAUACCUCAUUGGUUUUACACAUUACAGAUAUCUUCUCCAUUCUGUCCCCUCAUACCUUAGUUGAUAAAGAAUCUGCCUGCAAUGCAGGAGACUCCAGUUCAAUCCCUGGGAUGGGAAGAUCCCUUGGAGAAGGGAAAGGCUACCCACUCCAGUAUUCUGGCCUGGAGAAUUCCAUGGACUGUUUGGACAGGGUCGCAAAGAGUUGGACAUGACUGAGCGACUUUCACUUUCACUUUCCAUUCUGUCAUUGGCUAAAAAUUUGCUCAUGGUUUCCCUUUGUUGAAUAGAAAAUUUAAAUUUUGUUUUAAUUGAAUUAUG